CCCUUGUAUUAAAGGAUUAUAUUAAAUUAGUAUAUAAUGAAAUUUAAUAAUUUUUGGCGGUUAAUUGUUAAUUAGAGGAGCUUGUACUUUAUUAGAAUUAGCUCUUUAUAUUUAAAUAGUAAAUAAUUUAUUCAUCUCCGUUAUAAAAUGUAUUAUUUAAUAAUAUGGAGAUUUAUUGUAUUUCAGGUCAAGAUGUAGUAUUUAUUAGAGGGUAUUAGCUACAAUUAUGAAAUUUAUGGUUUAUAAAGGUAAAGAAUUUUUGAUGAUAAAUUGAAUUUAAUUGUAAUAAUAAUUAAAAUAUUAAUAUGAAUGGAGAUGAUUAAUGUACAUAUUGCCCGUCACUUCUAUAUAAGGG
rnacentral:rRNA from 2 species